rnacentral:rRNA from 1 species
UACGAAGGGGGCUAGCGUUGCUCGGAAUGACUGGGCGUAAAGGGCGCGUAGGCGGAAUGCUUUGUCGGGCGUGAAAUUCCAGGGCUCAACCUUGGGGCUGCGUUCGAGGCGGGUAUUCUAGAGUGGGGAAGAGGGUCGUGGAAUUCCCAGUGUAGAGGUGAAAUUCGUAGAUAUUGGGAAGAACACCGGUGGCGAAGGCGGCGACCUGGUCCUUUUACUGACGCUGAGGCGCGAAAGCGUGGGGAGCAAACAUG